UUGCCUCCUUAGAUGCCAUAGUAUAUUCCUCCAAAUCUGUGAUGUUAAGAUCUCUCUUUUGUUGUCGGGCUGAGGGCUUCAGUAUUGCUAAUCCGGGAGCGACCCUAGUCCUUCAGGCUUCAUGGUUUAAUCGCUCCUCUUGAAGUCGUACGAAAGAGAUGGCUGCCAUAAGUGUGUACGGUUGUCGUGCUUUAACUUCUCCCUGGAUCUCCGGCUUCAAACCCUCAAUAAAGGUCACCAAUAGCUGUUUUUGAGACUAAUCACGAGUUUGAUUAGAUAACCUUUCAAACCUUGUUUGGUACUUCUGAAUGGUGGAGGUUUGUCGGAUCUUUGCUAGUUAUCUGUUAAUGUUCUCAUAAUCGGUUGGUCCGAAGCGGAUCAACAGUCCUUCUUUGAAUUGUCGCCAUGAGAGGAUUCCAUGAGUGUGUUCAAACUAGUCAAACCAUUGUAUAGCAUCCCUUUCAAGAUGUAUAGUCGCAAUUUUCACCAUAGAUGCGUCCGUGGUUUUGUGGUACCGAAAAUAUCGCUCCGCGCGCGAGAUCCAACCAAUCGGGUCUCCUUCUUCCCAUCUAGGGAAGUCCACUCUCAAGCGUAGAUAGUUGGGAUCGAUCAUAGAACCUCCCAUCUCUUGGAAGUCAUCUCUUCGGGCUUGGUGCGAUUGGUUAGAGCUCUCCCCUUGAUGUGAUUUCUUCGGGCUUGGUGGUCGGCCCAAACUGAGUUCGGUAAAGAGAGUCCGAAUCUUAUCUUCCAUUCGCGCUUUGAAGGCUUCGAAUUUAGCAUUGAUUGCCUCCUUAGAUGCCAUAGUAUAUGCCUCCAAAUCUGUGAUGUUAAGAUCUCUCUUUUGUUGUCGGGCUGAGGGCUUCAGUAUUGCUAAUCGGGGAGCGACCCAAGUCUUUCAGGCUACAUGGUUCAAUCGCUCCUCUUGAAGUCGUGCGAAAGAGAUGGCUGCCAUAAGUGUGUACGGUUGUCGUGCUUUAACUUCUCCCUGGAUCUCCGGCUUCAAGCCCUAAAUGAAGGUCCCCAAUAGCUGUUUUUGAGACUAAUCACGAGUUUGAUUAGAUAACCUUUUAAACCUUGUUUGGUACUCCUGAAUGGUGGAGGUUUGUCGGAUCUUUGCUAGUUAUCCGUUAAUGUUUUCAUAAUCGGUUGGUCCGAAGCGGAUCAGCAGUCCUUCUUUGAAUUGUCGCCAUGAGAGGAUUCCAUGAGUGUGUUCAAACUAGUCAAACCAUUGUAUGACAUCCCUUUCAAGAUGUAUAGUCACAAUUUUCACCAUAGAUGGGUCCGCGGUUUUGUGGUACCGAAAAUAUCGCUCCGCGCGCGAGAUCCAACCAAUCGGGUCUCCUUCUUCCCAUCUAGGGAAGUCCACCCUCAUGCGUGGAUAGUUGGGAUCGAUCAUAGAACCUCCCCUCUCUUGGAAGUCAUCUCUUCGGGCAUGGUGCGAUUGGUUAGAGCUCUCCCCUUGAUGUGAUUUCUUCGGGCUUGGUGGUCGGCCCAAACUGAGUUCGGUAAAGAGAGUCCGAAUCUUAUCUUCUAUUCGCGCUUCGAAGGCUUCGAAUUUAGCAUUGAUUGCCUCCUUAGAUGCUAUAGUAUAUGCCUCCAAAUAUGUGAUGUUAAGAUCUCUCUUUUGUUGUCGGGCUGAGGGCUUCAGUAUUGCUAAUCGGGGAGCGACCCUAGUCCUUCAGGCUUCAUGGUUCAAUCGCUCCUCUUGAAGUCGUGCGAAAGAGAUGGCUGCCAUAAGUGUGUACGGUUGUCGCGCUUUAACUUCUCCCUGGAUCUCCGGCUUCAAACCCUCAAUGAAGGUCCCCAAUAGCUGUUUUUGAGACUAAUCACGAGUUUGAUUAGAUAACCUUUCAAACCUUGUUUGGUACUCCUGAAUGGUGGAGGUUUGUCGGAUUUUUGCUAGUUAUCCGUUAAUGUUCUCAUAAUCGGUUGGUCCGAAGCGGAUCAGCAGUGCUUUUUUGAAUUGUCGCCAUGAGAGGAUUCCAUGAGUGUGUUCAAACUAGUCAAACCAUUGUAUGGCAUCCAUUUCAAGAUGUAUAGUCGCAAUUUUCACCAUAGAUACGUCCGCGGUUUUGUGGUACCGAAAAUAUCGCUCCGCGCGCGAGAUCCGACCAAUCGGGUCUCCUUCUUCUCAUCUAGGGAUGUCCACCCUCAUGAGUGGAUAGUUGGGAUCGAUCAUAGAACCUCCCCUCUCUUGGAAGUCAUCUCUUCGGGCUUGGUGAGAUUGGAUAGAGCUGUCCCCUUGAUGUGAUUUCUUCGUGCUUGGUGGUCGGCCCAAACUGAGUUCUGUAAAGAGAGUCCGAAUCUUAUCUUCCAUUCGCGCUUCGAAGGCUUCGAAUUUAGCAUUGAUUGCUUCCUUAGAUGCCAUAGUAUGUGCCUCCAAAUCUGUGAUGUUAAUAUCUCUCUUUUGUUGACGUGCUGAGGGCUUCAGUAUUGCUAAUCGGGGAGCGACCCUAGUCCUUCAGGCUUCAUGGUUUAAUCGCUCCUCUUGAAGUCGUGCGAAAGAGAUGGCUGCCAUAAGUGUGUACGGUUGUCGUGCUUUAACUUCUCCCUGGAUCUCCGGCUUCAAACCCUCAAUGAAGGUCCCCAAUAGCUGUUUUUGAGACUAAUCACGAGUUUGAUUAGAUAACAUUUCAAAUCUUGUUUGGUACUCCUGAAUGGUGGAGGUUUGUCGGAUCUUUGCUAGUUAUCCGUUAAUGUUCUCAUAAUCGGUUGGUCCGAAGCGGAUCAGUAGUCUUUCUUUGAAUUGUCGCCAUGAGAGGAUUCCAUGAGUGUGUUCAAACUAGUCAAACCAUCGUAUGGCAUCCCUUUCAAGAUGUAUUGUCGCAAUUUUUACCAUAGAUGCGUCCGUGGUUUUGUGGUAUCGAAAAUAUCGCUCCGCGCGCGAGAUCCAACCAAUCGGGUCUCCUUCUUCCCAUCUAGGGAAGUCCACCCUCAUGCGUAGAUAGUUGGGAUCGAUCAUAGAACCUCCCAUCUCUUGGAAGUCAUCUAUUUGGGCUUGGUGCGAUUGGUUAGAGCUCUCCCCUUAAUGUGAUUUCUUCGGGCUUGGUGGUCGGCCCAAACUGAGUUCGGUAAAGAGAGUCUGAAUCUUAUCUUCUAUUCGCGCUUCGAAGGCUUCGAAUUUAGCAUUGAUUGCCUCCUUAGAUGCUAUAGUAUAUGCCUCCAAAUCUGUGAUGUUAAGAUCUCUCUUUUGUUGUCGGGCUGAGGGCUUCAGUAUUGCUAAUCGGGGAGCGACCCUAGUCCUUCAGGCUUCAUGGUUCAAUCGCUCCUCUUGAAGUCGUGCGAAAGAGAUAGCUGCCAUAAGUGUGGACGGUUGUCUCGCUUUAACUUCUCCCUGGAUAUCCGGCUUCAAGCCCUCAAUGAAGGUCCCCAAUAGUUUUUUUUGAGACUAAUCACGAGUUUGAUUAGAUAACCAUUCAAACCUUGUUUGGUACUCCUGAAUGGUGGAGGUUUGUCGGAUCUUUGCUUGUUAUCUGUUAAUGUUCUCAUAAUCGGUUGGUCCGAAGCAGAUCAACAGUCCUUCUUUGAAUUAUCGCCAUGAGAGGAUUCCAUGAGUGUGUUCAAACUAGUCAAACCAUUGUAUGGCAUCCCUUUCAAGAUGUAUAGUCGUAAUUUUCACCAUAGAUGCGUCCGCGGUUUUAUGGUAUCGAAAAUAUCGCUCCGUGCGCGAGAUCCAACCAAUCGGGUCUCCUUCUUCCCAUCUAGGGAAGUCCACCCUCAUGCGUUGAUAGUUGGGAUCGAUUAUAGAACCUCCCCUCUCUUGGAAGUCAUCUCUUUGGGUUUGGUGCGAUUGGUUAGAGCUCUCCCCUUGAUGUGAUUUCUUCGGGCUUGGUGGUUGGCCCAAACUGAGUUCGGUAAAGAGAGUCCGAAUCUUAUCUUCCAUUCUCGCUUCAAAGGCUUCAAAUUUAGCAUUGAUUGCCUCCUUAGAUGACAUAGUAUAUGCCUCCAAAUCUGUGAUGUUAAGAUCUCUCUUUUGUUGUCGGGUUAAAGGCAUGUAUAGGUUGAGAGAAGUGAUGGUUUAAAGGGUUGGUGGAUUGGUGGAUGUAGGCUGCGGUUUAUGCUUGUUUUGUGGCUGUUUUGGGUGCAGUUGAGGGUGUGGUUUGGUGGAGUUUUAGGGCUGUGGAUGAAAGUUUUAGAUCUGUGGUAGAUGGCAGCA
rnacentral:lncRNA from 1 species